ACUAAAGUUGUUGCAGUUAAAAAGCUCGUAGUUGGAUUUCAUGCGGGGUUCAGCGGUGUGUGGUGGGGGAGAGACACUGUUUCGCCCUUGCCCCGCACUGUUUGCACUCUGCAGUUUUAAUAUUCCCUGGUGGCGCCUUUGGCGCGUGCCCUUGAUUGGGUGUGUGUCAAGUCACGUAGUGGUGGGGCGCUGUUGGGGGCUUUACUUUGAAAAAAUUAGAGUGUUCAAAGCAGGCAGUCAUUUGAUUUGCUUGAAUAGAUUAGCAUGGAACAACGGAAGAGGACUUUUGGGCCUGUACUGUUGGCGUGUGGUGCGGGGUGUGUGGAGUGAGAAACCGCAAGGUUCUCUUGUUCCUCCCUCACCACAUCGGGUCUGAAGUAAUGAUUAAUAGGGACGGUUGGGGGCACUGGUAUUUCGUUGUCAGAGGUGAAAUUCUUGGAUUUACGAAAGACCGCCGACUGCGAAAGCAUUUGCCAAGGACGCUUUCAUUGAUCAAGAACGAAAGUUAGGGGAUCGAAGACGAUUAGAUACCGUCGUAGUCUUAACCAUAAACGAUGCCGGCCAGGGCUCGGUGGGCAGCACAAACUUUUAUCAAGUGGUGGCGCCAUCGGGACCUUUAGGGAAACCAAAGCGUUUGGGUUCCGGGGGGAGUAUGAUCGCAAGAUUGAAACUUAAAGGAAUUGACGGAAGGGCACCACCAGGAGUGGAGCCUGCGGCUUAAUUUGACUCAACACGGGGAAACUCACCAGGUCCAGACAUGGGAAGGAUUGACAGAUUGACAGCUCUUUCUUGAUUCCAAGGGAGGUGGUGCAUGGCCGUCCAGCUUUUGUUGUGAAAUCUCUGUUUGAUUACGGUAAACGGCGAGACCUUGACUUGCUGAUUGGUGUGCGCCUGCGUUAGCAGGCGUUGGAGAUUACGCGCAAGCGUGUCUCUCAUCACACCACUCAGAGGGACACUCGGCGUUGCUAUUGAGCGUAAGCCGAAGGAAGUUUGAGGCGAUAACAGGUCUGUGAUGCCCUUAGAUGUUCUGGGCUGCACGCGCGCUACACUGACGGGGGCAGCGAGUAUGCUUUGGGUGUUUGUGGUGGGGAAAGUCUUGUGCUUUUCUACGACAGACAUCUAUUCCUGCGCUGGAAGGCGUGGGGACUCUUGUGAAAACCCGUCGUGCUGGGGAUAGAUGCUUGCAAUUAUUCAUCUUGAACGAGGAAUUCCUAGUAAGCGCAAUUCAACAGAUUGCGUUGAUUACGUCCCUGCCCUUUGUACACACCGCCCGUCGCUACUACCGAUUGAAUGGUUUAGUGAGGCCUCGGGAUUGGCGCGUGGGCGCUGGCAACAGCUGCCCAUGUGUUUCUUUGCUGAGAACCUGGUCAAACUUGAUCAUUUAGAGGAAGUAAAAGUCGUAACAAGGUUUCCGUAGGUGAACCUGCGGAAGG
rnacentral:rRNA from 1 species